rnacentral:tRNA from 1 species
GGGGCAUUAGCUCAUCAGGCUAGAGCGUUUGACUGGCAGUCAAAAGGUGGCAGGUUCGAGUCCUGUAUGCUCCACAA